rnacentral:rRNA from 1 species
CGGGUGAGUAACACGUGGGUGACCUGCCCUUCACUCUGGGAUAAGCCUUGGAAACGAGGUCUAAUACCGGAUAUGACCUCCCGCUGCAUGGUGGGUGGUGGAAAGCGUUUAGUGGUGGAGGAUGGACCCGCGGCCUAUCAGCUUGUUGGUGGGGUAAUGGCCUACCAAGGCGACGACGGGUAGCCGGCCUGAGAGGGCGACCGGCCACACUGGGACUGAGACACGGCCCAGACUCCUACGGGAGGCAGCAGUGGGGAAUAUUGCACAAUGGGCGGAAGCCUGAUGCAGCGACGCCGCGUGAGGGAUGACGGCCUUCGGGUUGUAAACCUCUUUCACCUGUGACGAAGCGAAAGUGACGGUAGCAGGAGAAGAAGCACCGGCCAACUACGUGCCAGCAGCCGCGGUAAUACGUAGGGUGCAAGCGUUGUCCGGAAUUACUGGGCGUAAAGAGCUCGUAGGCGGUUUGUCGCGUCGUCUGUGAAAACUCAUGGCUCAACCAUGAGCUUGCAGGCGAUACGGGCAGACUUGAGUAUUGCAGGGGAGACUGGAAUUCCUGGUGUAGCGGUGAAAUGCGCAGAUAUCAGGAGGAACACCGGUGGCGAAGGCGGGUCUCUGGGCAAAUACUGACGCUGAGGAGC